UGUGGGCGGGCGGUGGGCUCUUGCCCCCGGGUCUCUACUGCGCUAGGUCGCUGCCCAGGCGUUGGCUUUGUUAAACGCAGGACCAGAGCGGGAAGAGGGAGCUGGAAAGUGAAUCUGAUCUCGGACUAGGCGGAGUCCAGUUCCAGGAAACGGAAACUUCUGCUAGAGCCCACCUGGGAUGACUGUCAGCAGCUCUUGCAGGUUCUCUUUACCACUGAGGAAAGAGAGUGAAUCCAGGUGGAAGCCCAAAAGUCCAUCCAUCCUGGGUGAUGACAGACAGCCAACUCAGAACCCUGAUCUCAUAAAUGCAGCUUUCCCCUUGUCUCGCCCCACUUGGGACUACAACUCGGCAGAAGGUGUGGCCUAAGCUGAGGGCCCUCUACGAGAUUGGGCCACCCCCGGACCCCCAUCGAUAUCGGCCAGGUGUACGUCCGGAGACACCAACAUCAGACACUUCAUCCCGGCUGGAAGAGACCCUACAUCGUGCUCCUGACCACUCCCACAUCUCUCAAGGUUGACGGGAUUACUCCCUGGGUCCACUACACCCACGUCCGGCCAGCUGACCCACACGCUGUUCUCAAGGACUUUGUCCCAGAAUGGAAAAGCCAACCAAACAAGGACAAUCCCCUGAAGAUAAAACUGCGGUGGUGGUAAUAAUACUCUUAACCUUGUUUACCCAAUGCCUUUCCAACCCCCAUUUGCCACAAAAUCUGACAUGGAUAAUUUAUAACGCAGCCACUGGAGACACUUUGAGUACCACCACCGGCUCUCACCCACCUGGGACAUGGUUUCCCUCUUUACUUGGCUAAACUCCUUCACCUAACCUGGGAUGAAACCUUCAUUAGUAAACAUCAUUUCUAUGUCUGCCCGGGGCACACCAAAGAAAAAGCACAACAGUGUGGAGGCACCAGCAGUUAUUACUGCUCUUCAUGGAGCUGUGUCUCCACUGGCCACAUCUGGUGGAACCCUCCUGUAAAAAAGGACCUUAUAUCUGUCAGCCGAACUGGUACUACGGGCCAGUGCUCUAAAUCUACUAAAUCUAUAGAGGGCACUUGCAAUCCAGUAAGCAUUACUUUUACUCCUGAAGGACACGCAGAGACAAGAUGGAGUACUGGACUCUGGUGGGGAGUAAGACUUUAUGAAAAAACCAGAGUUUUCCCCAGAGACCCAGGUGCUAUAUUCGGAAUCAAACUCCUCCAACAACCCUUAACUAACCCAGUUGCCUUAAGCCCAAGCCCUGUGCUAGCACCUUCUCUGCCCAAAUCUCAGACAACUCCUUCCUCCCCAAUGCCCUCCUCUGUACCUACCGUGCCGUCUGCAUCCAAUAACACCCCUGAUACAGACACAGUCACUCCCACCCCAACCUAAACCAGCCUGGACCCAUGAUUGGGUCUUUCCUUAGGUACAUCUGAGAGGGGGGAAUGUGGAGGUCGAGAAAAUUAAGGACAUCCCACUGCAAGUUUAACCUUAGGAAGAGUACAGCCAUCUUAGCUUCAGCAGCCAUCUCAGGCUCCAGUGAUCAGGGGCUGAACUUUAGUUCCAGGAAAAACCGCUAAGCUUUAGUAAUAGGAAAAACCGCUAUACCCAACCCUGCAACACCCCAGCAACAGCUAAUCAGCUUACUGCAGGAAAGUCUGAAAUUUCCCCUCUUCCCCCCCAAAGCCUCUUGUAAUGACACAUAAAUACCCCUGUCUUAACUAGACUCGGGGUCCAAGUCCCUACUCCGCUGUGUUGGGUAUACUUGGGCCCAAACAUAAGC